UCUUGCCUUAACUACACCUAAAAAGUUGCACUAUUCUGUAGAUGUAACUUCAGCACAUACGAAAAGGCACUUGCUAGUACCACAAAGGAAACCACUCUCAGUAUAAAAAACAAAUUUGUGAAAAUACAGCCAGAGAAUGGAGAAAAAUGUUGUUUGUCAUGCUGGAUCUCAGUGAAUGUCAUGUUGCUUUUACUUCGCCUGUAUAUGGGAAACUCAUAUCCAGAAGCAUCUCAGCCUUCCCACGGAUAUGAACAACGAAGUGGAGUGACCCAAGCUCUCCUUGAAGUCUGUACUGAGAAACAGGAUCAUCCAGGUAGUGUGGAAUGGCAACAGAAAGGAGAGCCUUCUCUAACUGAAGAAGCAACCACCAAACCCUGGACUCCAAGACUCUACUCGUUGAGGGGACUCAAAGCACCGUACCAUCCCGCUACAGUGAUCCGGGAGAUCAUUCACUGAAUUCAACACCCCUAUCUGUGAAGCAACAUGGUUUUGAAGAUGAACCAGGAAUUCUCUCUCAUAGGUUCAGCUUUGACUCACAAAGAUGAUGCUCCCUUGCCUGUGUCAUUUGAAGAAGCAGACCUCGCCAGCACCCUCUGAAUGUGCCUUAUGUGUAUCACGGAGACUGGAUUCCACAGUGAAGCCUGGCUGCUGUUUUGAUGUAAAAAAGUGAACAUCAGCAACAGAAGCUCCUGGAUGCAGCUAGUAAUAUUCCGCCUCCCUGUGACACUUCAGUGGCUAAAAUAUGUACAAAAAAUGUGGAAGGAAAGGGCUGAGUUUCUUUUCUUCCUACAUGGUAGUUAAAAAAUUUGGUCUUUUCAGACAGGACCUCGGCACGAACAACUUUCUGCUUUUGACUUCUGGUUUCACUUCCAUCCCUGUGUCCCCUUACAAACCUGUCCCUUGUUGCUUGCUCAAUGCCUGACUGAAGUGAAAGGGAUUCAGCAUUGCAGUGAGGAUGAAUAAAUUAAUAUCAACAAGGUGCUGAACAGAGUGGUGAUGGUUGUUAGGAAAGA